rnacentral:lncRNA from 1 species
AUUUUUCAGGUACUUUAUGUGUAAUAGGGAGUUUUCCUUUUGUCUUUAACAAGUGUAUAGAGUGUGAGAAUUCUCCAGACUGGGCACAAUUUAUCUACUAUGCACCAUUUGUUGUCAUUUUCCAGUUUGGCUGGGCGUCUGUACAGAUUAAUCAUUUAUCACUCAUACCAGAUCUGACUCCAGACGAGGGAGAGAGAGUAGAACUCAAUGGAAUGAGGUAAGACUAUUGUAUCAUGACUUACAUUAUUGCUAAUAGUCUAGAUAAAUAUUGUGUGUUUUGGCUUUUUGUGGUAGAAAUUGCAGGCUUAAAACUUGAUAUCCAUUUAUUUCAGGGUUUAUAAAAAAGAUUUGGUAUGCUUGCCAAUGAGUCAACUCUUCACAAGAGACCAAAUGACACAGAAAUUAACAACAAGUCUCUGUUCAGCCUUCAACGAUGAGCAGAGUCCAUACUGCAUAGUCCAUACUGCAUAGUCAGCAGUAUUUGUCACACUUUCACCCUUGUGAUAGUUAAAACAACAUAGUGCAGUUAAGUGAACAUUCUUUUGGCUGUAUCCAGACAAUUUUAGGUGAUAAAUUAAUAAUAGGUAAUACUCACAUAUUCAAUCUUACAAAAUGUGGUUUAUUUGAAUAACUAUAUUUGUAAUUGAAAACUGUUCUUAUUUAAAUUACAUAUAUAUAUGUCAUUUGAUGUAUGGUGUAUAAAAAAGUUGUGAAAAUAUUUGUUCAAACCUCUGUAUUGCCUACUUGUCAUUGGCUGUAAAACAUGUUGAAUGUUUUUAUGACUUUUUUCAGAUAUGCAUUUACAGUUAUAUCCAAUUUAAUAGUAUUUGGUGUGUUUUGGUUGUUAUUUGAUCUGAAUGAUGGGAGCAAAGAUGCUACAAUGUUAAGUCACACAGAUAGUGAUAGAUUUAGGGUAGGUUU